UAGCUUUGAAAUAUCUUGCCUUUCAACCAGAGCCAUAGAGCUAAAAAGAGUCGCGACACUCCCAUUGGACUCCGUUGUACGCUGUUUGCCGCCCACUUCCGGGGUAUGCAGCCUCGCAUAGUUCCAAAAAGCCAUUCUAUGGCGUCGGACAUCAUUCACUUCCAUUGCUGACUCUCGAGUAACUUCUGAGCUCCAGCCAGCAUAAACACCAGUGCAUGUGUCGCUUGUCCUUGGUGGUCAGGCAGCGUGAUGUUGCCAAAUGGCCUCCCCGUUCCCAGAUGGACCUCCACGCCUGGAGUAAUGGACAUUUCAUCUAAGCGUGCGGAUGUUAGGCAGUGGAAUUUGCAUUUUCUGGAGGGUUUUAUAACCGGUGGUGCCAGUGGUAAAUCUUAUUUUUAUAGCUUUUUUGUCUCCUUUCCCCACCGUAUUCCUCUCUUCUUUUCCUGUCCAAGGGCUGUCAUUUGGUCUCUGUUAAACAUUUGGGUGAACUUCUGAUUAACUAAAUUGUUCCUCUUUCUUAGCGCCAAAUUCAUUCUUUUUUGCUGUGCUAGAGCCCUCUCUGCUCUCCUUCUCAUUAACUUCUCCAUUUUAAGUUGCCUUAUUAGGUCCUCCACAAUUGCACUAUUAGACCCUGGCAGUCUGGUCCCUGGAGCACCUGGCCCUGGCAAAGUUGGUUCAUCGUUGCGGGCUCCUGACUGACUGGCCCUCGGCACACACAUCCCUGGAUCACCUGCCCCUGUGUCCAGGACUCAGAUGAAGAGGAUGUUAGUAUGCGUUGUUGAGAGGAACUGCCCUACAGUGACUGGCCAUAGUGCUUACUGGAACUCUACAGAUCUUGCUGGACCAGCAGUAUCGUUUUUGUGGCCAUCACAGGUUUCAGUGGAGCACCCC